CGAAAUGUCAAAGGUGAGGAUGCUAAUUUGGGGCGUCAUAAGUAAGAGUUAGUAUAUGUUUUGAACUUUGAAAAUAAUAAUAAUAAUAAUAAUAAUAAUAAUAAUAAUAAUAAUAAUAAUAAUAAUAAUAAUAAUAACGAUAAUUUUAUUUCAUUGUAUUGUAUAUGUUACAUACAUUGUAUUUACUACAAAUCUAUAUAUGUGAGAUAGAAUUAAAAAAUUGUUCGUUUACUGAAACGAUCGUAAUAUCAAUUUAAAAUUCGCUUUCUCCAUUGUAUCAAUAAAAGAAAUUAUUAUUAUUAGAGAUGGCAAAAUCGUUACCGUGCCAGACGACAAAAUUUUUAGCAACAUUCAUUCCUAUUAUAGGCCAUUCUAUUAUAGGUCUUGUGCCUAUAAUUGACAGGAUUAUUAUUAUUAUUAUUAUUAUUAUUAUUAUUAUUAUUGAGUGAGAGAGCAGUUCAUGCCAUCAAAGUGACACUGGGGUAAAAUAUACGAAGCCCAAUAUACCCAUCAUGACUACCCGUCUGAUAAAGGUACACCAGGCACAUGCAUCACAACCAUAUGUGCGCGACAUGGUGAUCUCAUAUCAAGAUAAACAGCACAAGAACUUGCAGAUGGGGCCCAGUUAGAAUUUUCUUCAGGUUGAGUAGCCCAUCCCGCUCAAACGGUCCCUGAAUAAGGGUUGUUUAAGGAUGUUGAAAGAACCACCCAUGUUUCCAGAGGUGAACUAUUCAAGCCCCAAAGAAUCCCUCUCAACACAUAUGGCUAUGAUGCUCCCCCACUACUUCUGCUCGUGAUCAGAGAUGCACAUAUCGUCAGCCACUAAGGGACAUGCUCAACUGGUUAAGGUCAAACAACUGACAAGCAAAUCUGUGGUAUUGAGCAGAAUAUUUGUUGUAGCCCAUCUUUUAUACCAAGACAAAACAAUGUACAUGAUAACACUUCCAAUCAGUUAAGAUCAGAAGCCAUGAGAGCCACUGCCUGGUACUGCAUCAGGGCAUUUAUUAUUAUUAUUAUUAUUAUUAUUAUUAUUAUGAAGAAGCGGCGAGCUGGUAGAAUCGUCAGCACGCCGCGAAAAACGCUUAGCGAUAUUUCGUCUCUCUCUACGUUCUGUGUUAAAAUUCUGCCGGGAUACUGGGAUUGAUGUAAUCGACUAACCCCAAAGCCCCUAAAAAAAUCGUGACUCUGUGCCAAAAUUUGAGCCUAUUAUCAUUGUUGUUAUUCUUACUUAUUUAUCCGAGGUUGACUUCGACUUACAUCUUUUCGAGGUCGAUUAAAUACAGUAUGAGAAAUAGAGUCGAGGGUAUCAAUUAGCACCUCCUCUCAAAAUUGCUAGCGCUGUAAUUAAUCAGAACCAUUAUUAAAGGCUGUUAGCUGAUAUAAUCGUUAGAACAUCGGACAAGUUGACUAGUGACAUUUCUUCCGGUUCUUUAUAUUCUAAGUUCAAAUGCUAUCGGGGUCGACUUAGCCUUUUAUUAUUCCUGACUCGAUAAAAUAAGUACAACUUGAGUACUGGGGUCGAUAUAAGCGAUUAACCCCUCUCCACAAAAAUAUCAGGCCUUGCGCAUAUUGGUAUGAAGUUGCUAAUUGUUCUUAUAAUAAUUAUGUCAAAUGUUAUAAAUAGUUUAGAUUGUCUUGAUUGAAUCAUCUCCUUUAAGUUAUGUAUAUAAACGUUAAACAUAUAUAUAAGUAUGUAUGUAUGUAUGUAUGUAUGUAUGUAUGUAUGUAUGUAUGUAUGUAUGUAUGUAUGUAUGUAUGUAUGUAGGUAUUCAUGUAUGUAUGUAUGAAUGAAUGUCUCUAUAUUUGUUCAUAUAUGUGUAUAUAUAUAUCUGUAUGUAUGUAUGUGUGCAUAUAUAUAUAUAAUGUAUAUGUAUAUAUAUAUAUAUCUGUACGUAUAUAUAUAAUGUACAUGUAUAUAUGUAUGAACGUGUAUAUAUGUAGUGCACAAACAUACUUAUGUGCAUUAUGUAUAUAUACGCGCGGGCACACACAUAUACGUAUAUUAUACAUAUAUAUAUUUAUGUAAACACACACACACACACACACACACACUAUAUAUAAGUGUGCGAUUGGUAAAUUGUUGACAUUUUAUUUUUUAACUUUGCGCUUGUGCAUUGUUUCUUUUUGAUUUUGUCGAUUACACAGUAUUGUAGAGUCAGUUGGGCACCGUUUGUGAGAAAAACAACACCAUGACGCAAUUCACUCUGUCAGAAAUUUGGAAACCACAUGCUGUUCUGCUUGGCAUUCAUGCCGGAAGCUCCAAUAUGAACAUUUCUGAAUGUUUGGGUGUCAAUCUGAGGACAUGUGCUAAGAGUGAUAAAAAUCAAAUAUCCAGUCAACAUCAUGAUAUAUGAAGUGAUCACUACUGAUAGCGACGUUAUGCUUACAUUCAUCUUCCCACACAUCCUUACACUCAGCAUGGAGGCCUACAACAAGUGCCUGGAGGACAUAAUGCUGCUUGGUCAAGAGGGUGGCUGCUGGAAGACCCUAUGUCUGUCAACAGGACUCUGCACCAUGCCACACAAACAGGAGAAUCCAGUCAUGGCUGUCAGACAAUUUCUGCAACUACAUCACCCCUAACAUCUGGCCGCCUACC
rnacentral:lncRNA from 1 species